UGUUUGCAUAGUUUGAGUUGUCAUAAAUGACAUUGAUCCAUCUAAAUAGUAUUUUUGUUAGUUGGAAGUUGAAUCGUGAGAUCAAUUCAUUGUUGCAAGUAGUUGGUUGAACGUUUUUACCUUUGUUGAUAUGUAAGUUAUAAACUUGUGAUUUAUCUCGUUUAUUAGCAGCGUAAUAAAGGCAACUUUAUCAUUUUACUUCAUGCUCCAGUUGGGUUUGCUCUGCAUUGCUUACCUGAAGAAGUCUUGUCUUGAGAAUCAUUUAUAGGCUGUCACAGUUCGGGCAGUUUAAACCGACAUAAUUUAAUUAUCGAGAUCGGGGUCUUUUGAGGAUGAGUAAUGCUUUGAUCAUAUCAACAUGAAAAGUUUUAUUUCUACAUUUUUUUAUAACGUCGGGUGUGAGUACCAUUCAAAACCUGUAGCUCUAUCAAGGACCAACAGGAUCUAGAUGAUAAUAAAUUUCUCCCAAUUUUCAGUUUACAUUAUUUGAUCGAUCAUAUUAUAUUAGCCAAGCGAGUAGCUUGAUUUUAUCCAAAUGUAAAUUGUUAUAAACAUUUUUGAUGCUCUUGGGAAAGAGACGAUUUUCCUAGUAGCAUACCUUCUACUCACACACUAACAAAUUCGACACAACACACCCCAGAAAAGCAAAGCAGCAAAAUAAAUUUCCAUAAUAGACUGACUCCUUAUGACAAUUCGCAUAAUCUUCAUCAUUCAUAAUUGUAACAAUGAAUAUUGUUAGUGUAUUCAAGAGAUUAAAUGGGAGUUUUGGUGGAAUCAGUACAGGAACUCUUGGAAAAAUCAAUUUAUAGAAAGUCGUAGAUUUCUGUAUAACCGAUUGCUGAAGGUUGUGUCAGUUAUUCCAAUUUAUUGGCUGGGAUUUAAACUAAUAAUGUAGCUUAUAAAAUAUUGUGUAUUUAAAAGGUUUUGGAUGAAUUUUGGGUUUUAGUUUUUGUCAUAAAUGACAUGUGAUUGAGGCAUUACUUACCUGAAGGGAUCUUGUCUUGGCAAUCAAUUUAGGCUGUCUCAGUCCGGGCAGUCGUUUAAACCUUACAUGAAUGUAUUUUCAGGAUUGGGAUCUCAUAAGGAAGUGUAGUGUCUUAAUCAGUCACCUUGUAAAGCUCUAUUUUAUAUGUUUUAUCUAACAUCGGGUGUGAUUACCAUUCGUCAGUUGGUUAGGCAGUAUGGUUAGUUGAGUUUGUGUUAGUUGGUUAGGCGGUGUGGUUAGUUGAGUUAAUAGUUAGUUGGUUAGGUGUUAUGGUUUUAAGUUUAUUGUUAGUUAGUUGGUUAGAAGGUGUGGACUUAGUUGGGUUUUUAUAUUCGUAGAAAAUAGGUAAUACACUUUUGUAUGGUAAUGGUGCUCUUUUUAUUAUUUUAUCAAAUGGGAUUAUUGUAUGCUUAGACAUUUUAAUUUAAUGCUUAUAUAAAAUAUUAUUGUAUACUCGAGGUGACUUUCACUUUCAUCAGUCAAUGCCAAGACGUGAAAGUUACCUCGAGCAUACAAGAAAAGAUGCUAAAACUUUUAUUAAUAACAAACAAAUGAACAACUGUCCUGUCACCAACAAGUGAAUACAAUUAUUCAUUGAAUUAUGAUUUAAAACUCUAAAAUCUUAAUCAAUAUGAGGUAAAAAUAUAAUCAAUUUUAUAUGUCCCAUAUGAUCAAGUGACAAUAGGAUUAUUGCCUCAUAUUUUAGACCGAUAUUAUUGCUAUCCAAUGCAUCGAUUGCAGAAUU
rnacentral:lncRNA from 1 species